AGGUUUGAUCAUGUUUUUAAAUGUCACAUCUUCAACCGUAGUCAGUCACAUACAUCAAAACAGAUGGUUCUUGCUGACAGGGUCUGUAUAGUUGUCAGAUUUUCUGUGCAAUGGCUCCAUACAUA